AAGAAUGUUAACUUCCAUUAUGUGAGAGCAGAUGAAACCAAAGCCUUGGGCCCACACAGCAAACCUUUGGGUAGCAACGAGUUCUAGAAAAAUGGAGCCUAAGGAGUCCAGAUUGUUUUUCCUUGAAAUACCAAGCAAGUCUAAAAUGAUUACUACCCAUGAGAUAUAUUUUUAAUGAUGUUAGGUUUGGGGGUGUGUUAGAUUGUUUUGCAUUGCUAUAAAUGAAUACCUGAGGCUGAGUAAUUUGUAAAGAAAAGAGGUUUAUUUGGCUCACAUUUCUGCCUGGCAGUGGCUAUAGUUGGCUUCUAGUGAGGCUUCAGGAAGCUUUUACUCAUGGUAGAAGGCAAGGGGGGGGCAGGCAUGUCACAUAGCAAGAGGAGGAGUGAGAGAGAGAAGGAGGUGCCAGGCUCCUUUAAAUUGUAAACUAACAGCAAGAACUCACUCAUUCCCAUGAGGAAGGGACCAGGCCAUUCAUGAGGGAUCCUCCCUCAUGACCCAAACACCCCCGACUAGGCCCUACCUCCAAUUCUGAGGAUCACAUUCCAACAUAAGAUUCAGAGAGUGAAAACAUUCAAAGUCUACCAGGAGGUGAUUAAAGUGAUAUGACAAUGUGAGGUAUAUGUUACCUGGAAGGUAGUAGGAGCAGAUGGUGGGAAGAAGAAAAGUGUAGCAACUACCCAGUCCUCUGCAUGAAAGAGCCCUCCCUCAAGAGCUUGGAAGCAACACAAAAUGGGGAGUAGACCAGGUCUACUAUCAGCACAGAGAUAAGAGACUCUGAACAGAGAAGACGGAUCCAAGGGGGACAGCCUGGAGUCGGGGGACCCAGCUGGAGGCCAGCACAGUUGCCUGGGCGAGAGGUGAGCCCUCCCUCCUGGAGAGGUGAGCCCUUCAGAGGAAGAGAUGAGAAACGGAAACCCCUGACUCAUUACCAUCGGCCUUGGCUUGCUGUUCCAUUGGCAGCCCUUUCUACCUGUGAUCAACACAUGCCUAUCUAGCAGCAUACUAACUCUGUCUCUCAUUCUAGAGCACGCAUCCGCCCAGAGUUAAUAAGUUUUAGAAUGUCGGCGUCCUGUCAUUGCAUCAUCCACAGAUUCAGUGACCAGAGAGGAAGAAACACAGGGAAGCUUUAUAUUAAUAAAGGUCUUGCGUUGAAUAUUCCUAAGCAACUGUCAAAAGUAAGCAGUUCGUAUGCUUCUUUUCUGGUGACAAUAAUAGACUGGGCCCCAUCCCUUCCCAGAGCUCCCGAUAAGCAACUGGAUCCAGUCUCCACUCCAGAACCUGAAUGGACUUUUUGCUCAAUACAGCUACUGCUGGCCAGUCAGCUUCAUGGGACAUGUGCCAAGAGGUCUUCCAUUCCAUCUUGAGUAAACAAAUUAGAGUCCUAGCAAAAACUCUUCCCAUGAGCCCUUUAACUGACCUAAAUUCAACAUAUGUCAUAAUCUAGGAGGAAGCACCAAAAUGGAAAACUACUUUAAUUCACAGAAGCUAAAGGAGCAAUUGUAAUGUAAGUGGUUUCUACAAAGUAUAUAUGCAGGAUCAGCAAGCAUGGGAAACGCACACCAGCCCCUGCAGGGAUUCUGGGCUACGAGUGCAUGAAGGCAGAGUCGAGACUGUGGAUUCUGGAAGAAGAAUCCCCUUGAGAGAGCAUCUGAUUCAAAAUUCAUCCAUAUAUGACUUAAAAGCCACCCAGGUUGUCAUAUCAUCUGUAAUGAUUAUUCACUAGAGCCAAGAGUGUUUAUAUUCUGAAGAUCAGAACAAGAUUCCCAACAAAACAGUAAGGGAGCAUUUCAGGGAGCAGUGGGAAUAUGUGUGGGAUGAAGCCAAAUUAUAAAGUCAUUAUUAGGGUGGGUAUGGUGGCUCACACCUGUAAUCCCAACACUUUGGAAGGCCAAGGCAAGAAGAGCACAUGAGCCCAGGAGUUCAAGUUCAGCCAGAGCAACCCUCAGGCUGAGGCAGGAGGGUCACUUGACCCAGGGAGGUCGAUGCUGCAGUGAGCUAUGGUAGCACCACUGCACUUCAGCCUGGACAACAGAGUGAGACCCUGUCUCAAAAAAAAAAAAAAAAAAGUCAUUACUUUAAAGGGCUUCCAAAGUCUAUAUAGAAUGAACUGCCAGCAGCCCAAGGAACUAUAAAUGGAGCUCCAUGUAUUUAUGCAAAUGUUGAGGGCAUAUAUUCAUUUCAAAGAGUGUUUGGUUCCUGCUGUAUUAUCAAUGCCUGUCAGUAAAACAUAAUGUUUAACAC
rnacentral:lncRNA from 1 species